AUUUUCUCAAAGAAGGUCAAAGGUCCCUUCCCCGCCUUUUGCAUUUGGGGGUGUUGUGUGAAGUCUUUCAGCUGUAAAUACCGAAAUAAAUCUGCGGGUGUGAGAUGUGCUUUCUGUUUGAGGUGUUCAAAUGGCACUACAUCAUUGUCCUCAAACAUGUGGCAGAUUCUUUGCAAUCCCACUUUUUCUAGGUUUGCGAACUCUCUAGGUGCCAUACCUGGGGGGAAGGCUCUAUUUCUCAGUAGGGGUGUUAAUGGGGAUGGUGAGGUCGCCAGUUUGUAUUUGUGUGCCGAAGUAUCACAUAUUCUUAGGGAGUUUAAUAUUGCCGGGCAGUUUGUUCUCAAAAUUGUCCUAUCUUCUUUGGGUACCCACAUGUGGUAUUGGG